GGGACGGUAACUCAUUUAUGAGAACUGUACCCAGAUUAAAACUGUUAAAUAAAAUAAGUUUAGUCCACCUGGAUCGACGGACUGGGAUGGGAGG
rfam:Halanaerobium saccharolyticum subsp. saccharolyticum DSM 6643, type strain:DSM 6643, WGS project CATI01000000 data, contig: c33